GCCAGGCGUGGUGGCGUGCGCCUGUAGUUCCAGCUACUCAGGAGGCUGAGGCAGGAGAAUUGCUUGAACCCGGGAGGUGGAGGUUGCAGUGAGCUGAUAUCGCACCACUGCACUCCAGCCUGGGCAACAGAGUGAGACCCUGCCUCCA
ensembl:misc_RNA Metazoa_SRP Metazoan signal recognition particle RNA